AUUGAACGCUGCGGCAGGCUUAACACAUGCAAGUCGAGCGAGCGGCGGACGGGCGAGUAAUGCUUAGGAAUCUGCCUAUUAGUGGGGGACAACAUCCCGAAACGGAUGCUAAUCCCUCAUACUACUAGAUGCGCCUAGUCGGAUUGGCUAGUUGGUGGGGUAAAGGCCUACCAAGGCGACGAUCUGUAGCGGGUCUGAGAGGUUGAUCCGUCACACUGGGACUGAGACACGGCCCAGACUCCUACGGGAGGCAGCAGUGGGGAAUAUGGACAAUGGGGGGAACCCUGAUCCAGCAAUGCCGCGUGUGUGAAGAAGGCCGUAGGGUUGUAAAGUACUUUAAGUAGGGAGGCGGUACCGACAGAAGAAGCACCGGCUAACUCCGUGCCAGCAGCCGCGGUAAUAC
rnacentral:rRNA from 1 species